GACGAACGCUGGCGGCGUGCCUAAUACAUGCAAGUCGAACGCAUUUUCUUUCACCGUAGCUUGCUACACCGAAAGAAAAUGAGUGGCGAACGGGUGAGUAACACGUGGGUAACCUGCCCAUCAGCGGGGGAUAACACUUGGAGACAGGUGCUAAUACCGCAUAAUUCCAUUUACCGCAUGGUAGAUGGGUGAAAGGCGCUUUUGCGUCACUGAUGGAUGGACCCGCGGUGCAUUAGCUAGUUGGUGGGGUAACGGCCUACCAAGGCUGCGAUGCAUAGCCGACCUGAGAGGGUGAUCGGCCACACUGGGACUGAGACACGGCCCAGACGCCUACGGGAGGCAGCAGUAGGGAAUCUUCGGCAAUGGACGCAAGUCUGACCGAGCAACGCCGCGUGAGUGAAGAAGGUUUUCGGAUCGUAAAACUCUGUUGUUAGAGAAGAACAAGGAUGAGAGUGGAAAGUUCAUCCCUUGACGGUAUCUAACCAGAAAGCCACGGCUAACUACGUG
rnacentral:rRNA from 1 species